rnacentral:misc_RNA from 1 species
UCUUGUUGAGAGCAGGAUUCAUCGCCUGGCGCGUUACUACAAGCGCACCAAGAAGCUCGGUGUCACCUGGAAAUAUGAGUCUACUACCGCCAGCACCCUUGUGGCUUAGGCUUUGUCAAACUCUCUUCCAUCAAGUAUGGGGUCAUCGUGCUAGAGUGUCAGUUUCAAUUGUGUGUCUCCUGCAGUAAUUUGUUUGCUUUAUGUUUUAGGUCGUUAUCCUUGAUUUGUUUCUGGACUUAGUGUCUAUGGAUUUGAAUUUUG